GCGUGUGCGCAGCGUUCGCGGGCGUCUAAAUUAGAGUCGGCUCCGGCACCUGAUCUGUAUUUACCCAGGGUGCAGCGGGAAUGUGUCUACAAUGCUGUUGUGAACCGAGUCACUCAGGAGAUCAUCUGCGCGUUCCUCGCCAUUGGCACCGCAGCCUCUGCUGGAUAACCAGUGCGAGAUUCUGCAAUCCAAGCUGGACCUGAGAUCAAUUGAUGACCCUUGUGACCUCGCCUAUGUCCCCAAGCUUUGGCACCCCUCCCCACUAGCAUACCUGGCUCGGUGACCUCAAACACGUUGACAGGGUGGAAGUCUGUGACAGCCCCUGUGGCCUGGCCAAUCAUCCCUAACUUGUUGCUAUGCUAGAUUUCCUUUCUAGGUAUCCGCUUCCUCUACUCCGCGCAGGAGGCCCCGCCCAAUCUUGUUUUCUCCCCCUCCCUCUUCAUUAAUGGUAACCCCGGGGUACUCUUGCCUAGCUCCACCCACUGAUCUCCGUUAGUAACGCGCAAGAUCUGUAGUGGAAAAGGAGGUAGGAAGGAAAACUUACCUUCCAAUCAGAGCUGUGGUGUGUAUCCGCGGAGCCAAUCAGGAAAAGCCAUAUCAAGAGUCCGCCCUCCCCACACCCCGGGGCCUGGAGAGGAGGCAUCGAACACCCGUUUAUAACCGAGUCUGCACAACCUGGUACUUGCGCACGUAGACAGCCCCCACAGCCAGGAGGAUCCCCACCAGGGCUGCGAUGGAGGCAGAAGCCAAGGCUUUGGAGGCUGGGCUCAAAGCUGGGAGCGGAAGUGAAAGUCAGGAAUGAGGUCUGAGGACCUCCCAAGAGUGGAGCCCAUGCCUGUUCUGUGGGCCCUCCUGGAACGGCAGCAUCCCCUCUCCCGCACCAGUUCCCCGAGGUUGCAGGGUGCCUCACCGAGGACCGUCAGCAUAACAGGUGCAGAACUGCUGCGCACUAUUAGCCCACCGAGAUUGAGGCGUGCAUGGCAGGUGAGUGGUUGCCAGAGGUCCUUGGGUCCUGCCCGCAUCACGUAGGUCAAAGUGACAUUAGCCAGAUCUGAACCGUUGAAGCGCUCCAGACUUUCAAAAUAAAUCACCUGGCCACCUCUCCUUAUGCUCACCACCAAGAACCCCACGGGGAACACGUGUGUCACAUAGCAGCGUAGAGUGUACUUGUGGCCCACUAGGACAGGAGGCUCCAUGAUUACGCUUCUCGGCCGUUCUAAGACAAGGAGGGUAAGACCUGCAGUCACCUCCUAAAGCAACUGCAAACUACCCCGUUCCUCCACCCUUCUCCCCUCACCCCACCCCGGCCCGAGCCCCCAUCUCCCUCACUGUAAGCGGUGAUCCUGGCGGUGGCUUCGCGCGUUUCUCCUGCGCAAGUGACAACGCAGCGCACCUUGGAAUUCCAGGCCCUCACAUCCAAUAGCUGGUAAGAUACCCAACCCGAGCCACUGAGUGUCUUUCCCUGCCGCAGCUGAGUGCGCAGGCUGGAACGCACCGGCAGGGGGCAGCUGUGGCUGCAGUUAAGCCACACCGAGCCCCCGGGAGGCACAGCCUCCAGCUCCGGGCUUAAAUGCACUAAGAAAGGCGGUGAGGUCCCGGAAGGCAUGGGAGGGCUUUGCAUCCACUCGUGCUGGGGGCUCCCACUCCUCGGAUAGGCGGCUACCAGCAAAAGUGACGGGAACAGGACAGACUCCAUGACACAAAGCCCGCUCUGAGGUGCGGAGGCCAGGGAGCUUCAGCUGGCCCUGGAGAUAAGGCUCCCUGACCACACCCCAGAGUGGGCCCAGCAGCUCUGUUGAAGACACCGCCUCCCCAGGACUCCAGAAUGACACAUCAAACUCCACAGUCAACCAGAGGUCGUUGCACUUUCCCGAACUGGGCUUUCGUUUUCACUUAAGCCCCAAAAGCUCAUUAAAUAGAUUUCAGUGAGUGUAGUAGUGGCUCAGGCCUUUAAUCCAAACAUUCAGGAGACAGGCAGGCAGAUCUCUGUUAGAGGCCAGUCCAUUCCACACAGCAUGUUCCAGGACAGCCAGGGCCACACAGAGACUUUGUCUUAAGAAACAAAGACCAAGAAAAGACAAAAUCAAGAAUGAGUCUGCAGACUCAGGGUUAGGUUAAUGGAUGACCCUUUGAGGAAGUGGAGGAGUCAGGAAUACUUAGAAAGGGCUCUAGCUAACUGAUGUGAUGCCUAUUCUCAAACUCACAGGAGGCUGAGACCAAAAUAACACUUUAUUGACUCAAACGAAAGGCUUCUGAGUUGGGAGGCUUGUGCCCACCCCCCAGCUGGCAGGACCUUCCUAAGUGGUUGCCGAAUCUUCUUCCAGGGUUUCUGCUCGAGGUGGAGCUAGGCAGGGGCACGCAGGGAUUGACCACAAUUUCACGCUGCCAAGCGUGGGCAUCCACAUUUGAGUGUGGUGAUUGCCCGGGAGCAAAGAUAGGAAUGCAUGUAGGUGAAGACGUGGUUACUCUUGAUGGUGCUGGAGACAGGACUCCAAGAGAGGCCGACAAGCAGGGAUCCAUGUUAGACCACUUAGUAUUCUUGUGACGGCUCUUUUGGGAAAAGCAUCCUGACCAACAGGCACCCUAGCCCCAUGUGAACCUUUUUCCAGGCUCUGUUGUGUAUACAGUCCCUGCAACACUAUCCUGACAAGAACCUGUAUGUUCACCUGCUCACUGCUCUAGUAUCUGUACAAGGUACUCAAUAAAUAGCAGGAAAAUC